rnacentral:rRNA from 1 species
UACAGAGGGGGCAAGCGUUAUUCGGAUUUAUUGGGCGUAAAGGGCGCGUAGGCGGCUCUGCACGUCCGUUGUGAAAUCGCCCGGCUCAACUGGGCGGGGUCAGCGGAUACGGCAGAGCUUGAGCAAGCUAGGGGGCAAUGGAAUUCCGGGUGGAGUGGUGAAAUGCGUAGAGAUCCGGAGGAACACCAAAGGCGAAGGCAGUGUCCUGGGGAGUACCUGACGCUCAGGUGCGAAAGCCAGGGGAGCGAACGGG